GGGGAAUUUUCCGCAAUGGGCGAAAGCCUGACGGAGCAAUACCGCGUGAGGGAGGAAGGCUCUUGGGUUGUAAACCUCUUUUCUCAGGGAAUAAGAANCUGAAGGUACCUGAGGAAUCAGCAUCGGCUAACUCCGUGCCAGCAGCCGCGGUAAUACGGAGGAUGCAAGCGUUAUCCGGAAUGAUUGGGCGUAAAGCGUCCGCAGGUGGUUUAUCAAGUCUGCUGUCAAAGAGUUUGGCUCAACCAAAUAAAGGCAGUGGAAACUGACAGACUGGAGUGCGGUAAGGGCAGAGGGAAUUCCUGGUGUAGCGGUGAAAUGCGUAGAGAUCAGGAAGAACACCGGUGGCGAAAGCGCUCUGCUGGGCCGUAACUGACACUGAGGGACGAAAGCUAGGGGAGCGAAUGGGAUUAGAUACCCCAGUAGUC
rnacentral:rRNA from 1 species